rnacentral:rRNA from 1 species
AGCUAAUAGAUACCCUGGUAGUCCACGCCCUAAACGAUGUCUACUAGUUGUUGGUGGAGUAAAAUCCAUGAGUAAACGCAGCUAACGCGUGAAGUAGACCGCCUGGGGAGUACGGUCGCAAGAUUAAAACUCAAAGGAAUUGACGGGGGCCCGCACAAGCGGUGGAUUAUGUGGAUUAAUUCGAUGCAACGCGAAAAACCUUACCUGGCCUUGACAUGCCACUAACGAAGCAGAGAUGCAUUAGGUGCCCGUAAGGGAAAGUGGACACAGGUGCUGCAUGGCUAUCGUCAGCUCGUGUCGUGAGAUGUUGGGUUAAGUCCCGCAACGAGCGCAACCCUUGCCAUUAAUUGCCAUUAUUAGUUGGGCACUUUAAUGGGACUGCCGGUGACAAACCGGAGGAAGGUGGGGAUGACGUCAAGUCCUCAUGGCCCUUAUGGCCAGGGCUUCACACGUAAUACAAUGGUCGGUACAGAGAGUUGCCAACCCGCGAGGGGUAGCUAAUCUCAGAAAGCCGAUCGUAGUCCGGAUUGUUCUCUGC